rnacentral:lncRNA from 1 species
AUGACUUGUGAAUUGUGGAGCCCAUGGGUAAACAGACUAGAGACCGCAAUCUCUUCCUCAGAGGAAUUUCCAACGGUACUAACAGUGGUAGCUGGUGAAACAGAAACCAUCCCUAUUGGACAACUCUUCCAGCUUCCAGGCCCAGAUGGAAAUCACUGGCAUCAGGAAGAACUGAAAUCCCCAGCUGAGAUAAAGCAAAAGACUUCCAGGCAGAAGAAAUCAGAAUCGGACCUACUGGUGCUACCAUCUGUUCCUCUGCACUGACCUUAGAGCUUGUGGCUCCUGUGAAACUGGGGAAUUGUCCAGCUGUGAGUUUCUGUUUUACUGGGAUUGAAUUCCCAUCAAUGUCCUUGACUUCCAGGCUUUGACCAUCAUCUUAUGAUGGUCGCCUCUAUCAGACAUCUCUGCUGUUUGCUUUAUAAUGUGUAUUUAUUAACAAUAAUAAAGUUAAUUCAACUGAGUCUAACUAUGAUCAUUUGAUGAUAUUUUGGGGGAUUGGUUUGGAUACAAACAAGCAUGCCCAAGUCAGGAUUUCAGAUCAGGGACUACAGGGCUUCCUUCUAUUCCAGAUGGCCUGCCCUGGGUGGCACUAGUGGUAAAGAACCUGCCUGCCGAGGUAGAUGACCUAAGAGACUCAGGUUCGAUUCCUGGGUUGGGAAGAUCCCCUGGAGGAAGGCAUGGUUAGCCACUCCAGUAAUCUUACCUAGAGAAUCCCAUGGAGAAAGGAGCCUGGCAGGCUACUGUCCUUAGGGUCUCAAAGAAUUGGACAUGACUGAAGCUGGUUUCAAAUAGGAAGAGGAGUACGUCAAGGCUGUAUAUGGUCACCCUGCUUAUUUAACUUAUAUG